CGGGGGGAGCAAGCGUUGUUCGGAUUUACUGGGCGUAAAGGGCGCGUAGGCGGCGCAACAAGUCACUUGUGAAAUCUCCAGGCUUAACUCGGAGCGGCCAAGUGAUACUGUCGUGCUAGAGUGCGGAAGGGGCAACUGGAAUUCUCGGUGUAGCGGUGAAAUGCGUAGAUAUCGAGAGGAACACCUGCGGCGAAGGCGGGUUGCUGGGCCGACACUGACGCUGAGGCGCGAGAGCCAGGGGAGCGAACGGGAUUAGAUACCCCGGUAGUCCUGGCCUUAAACGAUGGAUGCUUGGUGUCCGGGGUUACAUAGUCCCCGGGCGCCGUCGCUAACGCCUUAAGCAUCCCGCCUGGGGAGUACGCACGCAAGUGUG
rnacentral:rRNA from 1 species